GACGAACGCUGGCGGCGUGCCUAAUACAUGCAAGUCGAACGAACUCUGGUAUUGAUUGGUGCUUGCAUCAUGAUUUACAUUUGAGUGAGUGGCGAACUGGUGAGUAACACGUGGGAAACCUGCCCAGAAGCGGGGGAUAACACCUGGAAACAGAUGCUAAUACCGCAUAACAACUUGGACCGCAUGGUCCGAGUUUGAAAGAUGGCUUCGGCUAUCACUUUUGGAUGGUCCCGCGGCGUAUUAGCUAGAUGGUGGGGUAACGGCUCACCAUGGCAAUGAUACGUAGCCGACCUGAGAGGGUAAUCGGCCACAUUGGGACUGAGACACGGCCCAAACUCCUACGGGAGGCAGCAGUAGGGAAUCUUCCACAAUGGACGAAAGUCUGAUGGAGCAACGCCGCGUGAGUGAAGAAGGGUUUCGGCUCGUAAAACUCUGUUGUUAAAGAAGAACAUAUCUGAGAGUAACUGUUCAGGUAUUGACGGUAUUUAACCAGAAAGCCACGGCUAACUACGUGCCAGCAGCCGCGGUAAUACGUAGGUGGCAAGCGUUGUCCGGAUUUAUUGGGCGUAAAGCGAGCGCAGGCGGUUUUUUAAGUCUGAUGUGAAAGCCUUCGGCUCAACCGAAGAAGUGCAUCGGAAACUGGGAAACUUGAGUGCAGAAGAGGACAGUGGAACUCCAUGUGUAGCGGUGAAAUGCGUAGAUAUAUGGAAGAACACCAGUGGCGAAGGCGGCUGUCUGGUCUGCAACUGACGCUGAGGCUCGAAAGUAUGGGUAGCAAACAGGAUUAGAUACCCUGGUAGUCCAUACCGUAAACGAUGAGUGCUAAGUGUUGGAGGGUUUCCGCCCUUCAGUGCUGCAGCUAACGCAUUAAGCAUUCCGCCUGGGGAGUACGGCCGCAAGGCUGAAACUCAAAGGAAUUGACGGGGGCCCGCACAAGCGGUGGAGCAUGUGGUUUAAUUCGAAGCUACGCGAAGAACCUUACCAGGUCUUGACAUACUAUGCAAAUCUAAGAGAUUAGACGUUCCCUUCGGGGACAUGGAUACAGGUGGUGCAUGGUUGUCGUCAGCUCGUGUCGUGAGAUGUUGGGUUAAGUCCCGCAACGAGCGCAACCCUUAUUAUCAGUUGCCAGCAUUAAGUUGGGCACUCUGGUGAGACUGCCGGUGACAAACCGGAGGAAGGUGGGGAUGACGUCAAAUCAUCAUGCCCCUUAUGACCUGGGCUACACACGUGCUACAAUGGAUGGUACAACGAGUUGCGAACUCGCGAGAGUAAGCUAAUCUCUUAAAGCCAUUCUCAGUUCGGAUUGUAGGCUGCAACUCGCCUACAUGAAGUCGGAAUCGCUAGUAAUCGCGGAUCAGCAUGCCGCGGUGAAUACGUUCCCGGGCCUUGUACACACCGCCCGUCACACCAUGAGAGUUUGUAACACCCAAAGUCGGUGGGGUAACCUUUUAGGAACCAGCCGCCUAAGGUGGGACAGAUGAUUAGGGUG
rnacentral:rRNA from 2 species